CCUACUGCUAUCGGGGUGGGACUAAAACAUGCAAGUCGAGCGUCUCCAAGCCAUGGUGGGGGCGCGGCGUACGGCUCAGUAACACGUGGCUAACCUGCCCUUGGGACGGGAACACCCCCGGGAAACUGGGGUUAAUUCCCGAUAGGUGAGGAGGCCUGGAAUGGUUCUUCGCUGAAAAGGCGUUAGAGGCAUGCUCUCUAACGUUGCCUAAGGAUGGGGCCGCGGCCGAUCAGGUUGUUGGUGAGGUAACGGCUCACCAAGCCUAUAACCGGUACGGGCCGUGAGAGCGGGAGCCCGGAGAUGGGCACUGAGAUAAGGGCCCAGGCCCUACGGGGCGCAGCAGUUGCGAAAACUCGCCAAUGCACGAAAGUGUGAGCGGGCUACCCCGAGUGCCGUCCGCUGAGGAUGGCUUUUCCCCGGUGUAAUGAGCCGGGGGAAUAAGGAGAGGGCAAGUCUGGUGUCAGCCGCCGCGGUAAUACCAGCUCUCCGAGUGGUAGGGAUGAUUAUUGGGCUUAAAGCGUCCGUAGCCGGCUUAGCAAGUCUCCUGUUAAAUUCAGCGACCUAAUCGUUGAGCCGCGGGAGAUACUACUAGGCUAGGAGGCGGGAGAGGCCGACGGUAUUCUCGGGGUAGGGGUGAAAUCCUAUAAUCCCGGGAGGACCACCAGUGGCGAA
rnacentral:rRNA from 1 species